CCCUCCCUCUCUCCCAAGAACAAUAAUAUAGUGACAUAGCAAAUCAUAGCGAUACCCUUCAGAAUUCAUUGUUUAUCGGAAUCGUAUUAUGUUGAAUUCAUCAUUUGUAGAUAAGGGAUUCAAUGAUUGCUUGAUUGUGGACGGAAAUUACAGUUGAUAAGAUAUUGAGGGAAGGGCAAAAAAAAAAGGAAAGAUGGGUAAUUUCAAGCAGGCGCUAAGAAGCAGCGCCCGAGAGCAGAAGACAAUCUGCUGCAAAAGACCAAAUCCGUGGCCUUUGGUGACCACAAGGGUCACCAUGAGGAGUCCGGCCAUAAGUCAAACUCCACAGUUUUGAUGAAGAAGCCGAAGAUAUGAUUAAGAAGUUGAAGCAUGCAGAAGGUUGCUGGGUAAAAUUAUGUGGUCUUCUUCAGCAAAAUCCACAUGUGUGAUGUGCCUUUCAUGGGGAAGAAACUAAGUUGUAUAUGGUAUUCUAGAUGUGCAAACAGUUCCUGGGAACUUCCAUAUCUCAGACCUCAGUCCAUGGAUUGAACAUUUUUGUCGCAAGCUCCGAUUUAUGAAGGUUCUUCUCAUGUAUUGACGAGUCAUAUAUAAUUCAUGACUUGUCCUUUGGGCCAAAUAUCCUGGUAUAGAGAACAGAACCUACUUGAUGGCACGUCCAGAAUUUUGCGUGGAGCAAGCGGAACAUUCAAGUGAAAGAAGAGACACCAUCUGGAGUCUGCUCACAACGCAUCACUGUUUUCAAGAAUGUUGGUAGUCUACAAGGUUUUUUUUCUUUCUGGCUCAAGGCCAAUGUGGUUUUUGAUGUUUCGAGAGCGAGUUCGGAUGCACCCAUAGGUUAGUUUGAUUCAAUCACUAAGCAACUAUUCUUAUAGCAUUUUGUUGUAAUACUAGAAUAUUCAUAUUCAAGUUUUCCAGUAAUUAA